UACGUAGGGUGCGAGCGUUGUCCGGAAUUAUUGGGCGUAAAGAGCUCGUAGGCGGUGUGUCACGUCGGCCGUGAAAACCCGCGGCUCAACUGUGGGCGGGCAGCUGAUACGGGCAGGCUGGAGUUCGGUAGGGGAGACUGGAAUUCCUGGUGUAGCGGUGAAAUGCGCAGAUAUCAGGAGGAACACCGGUGGCGAAGGCGGGUCUCUGGGCCGAUACUGACGCUGAGGAGCGAAAGCGUGGGGAGCGAACAGG
rnacentral:rRNA from 1 species